rnacentral:rRNA from 1 species
AUGGGGUGACUGCGUACCUUUUGUAUAAUGGGUCAGCGACUUAUAUUCUGUAGCGAGGUUAACCGUAUAGGGGAGCCGUAGGGAAACCGAGUCUUAACUGGGCGAAUGAGUUGCAGGGUAUAGACCCGAAACCCGGUGAUCUAUCCAUGGGCAGGUUGAAGGUUGGGUAACACUAACUGGAGGACCGAACCGACUAAUGUUGAAAAAUUAGCGGAUGACUUGUGGAUGGGGGUGAAAGGCCAAUCAAACCGGGAGAUAGCUGGUUCUCCCCGAAAGCUAUUUAGGUAGCGCCUCGUGAACUCAUCUUCGGGGGUAGAGCACUGUUUCGACUAGGGGGUCAUCCCGACUUACCAACUCGAUGCAAACUGCGAAUACCGAAGAAUGUUAUCACGGGAGACACACGGCGGGUGCUAACGUCCGUCGUGAAGAGGGAAACAACCCAGACCGCCAGCUAAGGUCCCAAAGUCAUGGUUAAGUGGGAAACGAAGUGGGAAGGCUCAGACAGCCAGGAUGUUGGCUUAGAAGCAGCCAUCAUUUAAAGAAAGCGUAAUAGCUCACUGGUCGAGUCGGCCCGCGCGGAAGAUGUAACGGGGCUAAACCAUGCACCGAAGCUGCGGCAGCGACACAAAGUGUUGUUGGGUAGGGGAGCGUUCUGUAAGCCUGCGAAGGUGUACUGUGAGGUAUGCUGGAGGUAUCAGAAGUGCGAAUGCUGACAUAAGUAACGAUAAUGCGGGUGAAAAACCCGCACGCCGGAAGACCAAGGGUUCCUGUCCAACGUUAAUCGGGGCAGGGUGAGUCGACCCCUAAGGCGAGGCUGAAAAGCGUAGUCGAUGGGAAACGGGUUAAUAUUCCCGUACUGGUGGUAACUGCGAUGGGGGAACGGAGAAGGCUAGGUUGUCCGGGCGACGGUCGUCCCGGUUCAAGCAGGUAGGCAGAGUGAUUAGGCAAAUCCGGUCACUUAAUGCUGAGAUGUGAUGACGAACCACUAAGGUGGUGAAGCAAUUGAUGCCCCGCUUCCAGGAAAAGCCUCUAAGCUUCAGGUUACCAACAAUCGUACCCCAAACCGACACAGGUGGUCAGGUAGAGAAUACUCAGGCGCUUGAGAGAACUCGGGUGAAGGAACUAGGCAAAAUGGUGCCGUAACUUCGGGAGAAGGCACGCUGGCGGUAGGUAAAGUCCCU